rnacentral:rRNA from 1 species
CUUUACAGGUCUGGCAAUUGGAAUGAGAACAAUUUAAAUCCCUUAUCGAGUAUCAAUUGGAGGGCAAGUCUGGUGCCAGCAGCCGCGGUAAUUCCAGCUCCAAUAGCGUAUAUUAAAGUUGCUGCAGUUAAAAAGCUCGUAGUUGGAUUUGUGGUGUGUCCAGUCGGCCUUUGCUCUCUGAGUGAUUGUGCUGUACUGGUCUGCCAUGUUUGGGUGGAAUCUGUGUGGCAUUAAGUUGUCGUGCAGGGGAUGCCCAUCGUUUACUGUGAAAAAAUUAGAGUGUUCAAAGCAGGCUUAUGCCGUUGAAUAUAUUAGCAUGGAAUAAUAAUAUAGGACCUUGGUACUAUUUUGUUGGUUUGCGCACUAAGGUAAUGAUUAAGAGGGACAGUUGGGGGUAUUUGUAUUCCAUUGUCAGAGGUGAAAUUCUUGGAUUUCUGCAAGACGAACUACUGCGAAAGCAUUUAGCAAGGAUGUUUUCAUUAAUCAAGAACGAAAGUUAGGGGAUCGAAGAUGAUUAGAUACCAUCGUAGUCUUAACCAUAAACUAUGCCGACUCGGGAU